AGGUAAUACCGCAUUAGCCCUACGGGGGAAAGCAGGGGACCUUCGGGCCUUGCGCCGAUAGAUGAGCCCGCGUCGGAUUAGCUUGUUGGUGAGGUAAAGGCUCACCAAGGCGACGAUCCGUAGCUGGUCUGAGAGGAUGAUCAGCCACACUGGGACUGAGACACGGCCCAGACUCCUACGGGAGGCAGCAGUGGGGAAUAUUGGACAAUGGGGGAAACCCUGAUCCAGCCAUGCCGCGUGUGUGAAGAAGGCCUUAGGGUUGUAAAGCACUUUCAGUGGGGAGGAAGGCUUCAGAUUAAUACUCUGGAGUACUUGACGUUACCCACAGAAGAAGCACCGCUA
rnacentral:rRNA from 1 species